rnacentral:rRNA from 1 species
GACGAACGCUGGCGGCGUGCUUAACACAUGCAAGUCGAACGGAAAGGCCCUGCUUUUGUGGGGUGCUCGAGUGGCGAACGGGUGAGUAACCCGUGAGUCACCUUCCCUUGACUUUGGGAUAACUUCAGGAAACUGGUGCUAAUACCUGAUAGGAGCUCCUGCUGCAUGGUGGGGGUUGGAAAGUUUAGGCGGAUGGGGAUGGACUCGCGGCUUAUCAGCUUGUUGGUGGGGUAGUGGCUUACCAAGGCUUUGACGGGUAGCCGGCCUGAGAGGGUGACCGGCCACAUGGGGACUGAGAGACGGCCCAGACUCCUACGGGAGGCAGCAGGGGGGAAUAUUGCACAAUGGGCGGAAGCCUGAUGAAGCAACGCCGCGUGCGGGAUGAAGGCCUUCGGGUUGUAAACCGCUUUCGCCUGUGACGAAGCGUGAGUGACGGUAAUGGGUAAAGAAGCACCGGCUAACUACGUG